CCCUAGCCCUGAUGGAAGCGACAUCCUUUCCUUGCCUUCUUUAGGCAAGGAAAGGAUGUCGCUUCCAUCAGGAUAUAGC
rnacentral:sRNA from 1 species